GCCCUCUCCAGACCAUAUGAAUGAAGAGUUCCUCUGCAUUUCCUAGCUUCCAGCUGUCUUGCUCCUGGUUGUCUUGUCUCAAAAUCCUAUUUGUCCAAGAGCAGAGAUAGCUGCUGUUGCCCAUGUGUUUAUGUGAAUGAUUUAUAAAUAGCACCAACCGCAGAUGAACAAAUGUUUAGAUUUAUUUUUCCUACACUGUAAACUGUAGGUAGUGAAAGACUGUUCUUGCACAAAUUCUGGGGAAAUACAUCUGCCCAUGCCCAACACAACAGUAAUACACUCAGGAAACAUUAUGUAUACAUUCAUGACAUUCAGAAAUGCUGGAUUUUUUUAUUAAAAUUGGUUACAAAUAUACAGAAAGAAACGUUACUUAUUUUGCCAAUGUUCCUCUUCACUGCAACCAUAGCCACAGCAGAGCAUAGGUAUAACAUGGAGGCUCAAUCCCUGC
rnacentral:lncRNA from 1 species